GACGAACGCUGGCGGCGUGCUUAACACAUGCAAGUCGUACGGUAAGGCCCUUUCGGGGGUACACGAGUGGCGAACGGGUGAGUAACACGUGAGUAACCUGCCCACAACUUUGGGAUAACGCUAGGAAACUGGUGCUAAUACUGGAUAUGUGCUCCUGCUGCAUGGUGGGGGUUGGAAAGCUCCGGCGGUUGUGGAUAGACUCGCGGCCUAUCAGCUUGUUGGUGGGGUAGUGGCCUACCAAGGCGGCGACGGGUAGCCGGCCUGAGAGGGUGACCGGCCACAUUGGGACUGAGAUACGGCCCAGACUCCUACGGGAGGCAGCAGUGGGGAAUAUUGCACAAUGGGCGCAAGCCUGAUGCAGCAACGCCGCGUGCGGGAUGACGGCCUUCGGGUUGUAAACCGCUUUCAGCAGGGACGAAGCUUUUUGUGACGGUACCUGCAGAAGAAGCACCGGCUAACUACGUG
rnacentral:rRNA from 1 species